rnacentral:lncRNA from 1 species
GGGAUUUCUUAUCUUUCUUAUUUAUGGAGUUUGCAAUGCAGAGGUGGGUUCUUUUUUUAUACAGACUUAUGAUCAGUUACAUUCAUAAACACCGAUGCCUUUAUUAUUAAUCCCUCGAAUCAUUUAUCUCAUCUUUUUGCUGUCUGUGGUUUUCUACUUUCUGUGGAUGGCAGGGCCUGACACAAAUCCCUGUCUGGACGCAUGUGAGAGAGACAAACUCCGGCUGUUCACCUGGCUAGUCUUUUUUAUUAAAUUGGUUAAUACGAAUUAUAAUUUACUGUUGAUCAUGAAAAAUUAAUAGUUUAAUUAAACUACAAUUACAUUAUUGCUGUUAGUGUGUGAAAUUGUUAUUAUGUCAAAUUUCCCCAAAAACAUUUUCAUUGGCUACUCAAAAUAUACCUAUUCUGGGAAGGGGGCGACCAGGUUAAUUACGGUGUUUAUCAGGCUCUAUUUUAUAGAUAUACUAAUGCAGAAUAGAUACUCAGAACUAGCAACAAAUUAAAUUUAUAGCUUUUGGAUAGUGAUAUAUACUGUGUAAAUAUCUGCACAAUUCCAAGUACCUUUCGGUCUAAUAACUGCAACCUCUACACACACACAUCAUUGAAAGGAUCUGAGGGAACGGGGGGUCGAAUAUGUUGUAAACUUACAGCCUAUUUUAUAUUUUGUCCAAAGUGUUUUGUCACGAAUUGUAGUAAAGUUCUCUGGUCCGAAAAAACAUUUAGUAGUUGCCAUCCAUCGUAAACAUCGUUAAAUAACACGAAGGGGAAUUAAUGAGUGAAAUAAAUAAUUUGUUUAUGAAGAAUUCCAAUUUCAUAGUUUCUUAUGAUCAUUUUGGAUGAUUUCAGAAGAUCCUUUUAAUGAGUCAAAUAAAAAAGACUUCACGCUUUGGAGGGUGGGGGGGGGGGGUAACUUCGACAAUAGUCAAAUAAGGUAACAAGGGGGGAAUUAUACAGACCACUGUCACAUGACGGAGUAUCACACACCACUGUCACAUGACGGAGAAUUAAGAAUUCUGUCAGUGUGAAAUCCAUUCCACGAUAUGAUUGGAACUGCCAUGAAGUAUUUUUAUGCCGUGUAGUGGAUUGCAGGACGUUCACAUGCAUUAGACUCCAAAUUAGGCUCAUUCUUACAGCAUUAAUUAAUUCUAGUCUGUCGCAAAUUAUUAAAAUGAACGGAAACCACCUAAAUAAACCAUGUAGAUCGUGCCGCUUAUGAUAAAAAUAAAGGUUAACCUACACACGUAUUUAAAUUUCUCACAAAAUCCUUUAAUUAAGGUAUAGUUUUAUGUGUAAUUUUAUAUUUUCCAAACAAUAAUUUUCAUUUCUCUGCAGAUUCGAAUCGCAGUUGGUCGGAAAAUGGGCUAUGGCGUUAAUUCGGCCACUUCUAAUACAUAGUGCAGGUAACAAAGGCUUUACCGUUUUGUAGAAACGUAUGAUUUUACCAUCUAAACUAAAAAAUGCAUGUACAGCCAAUGCGAAAAAGGUUGUCCUUUGCGAAUCUUAAACUCUAAACCUUAAAUUCUAAGCGCGAAAGCUUAAUGGGAGCACAAGUUUCAAGCUUAGUAAUUGAAUAAAGCACCCAGUAUUUUGAAUGAAUUAUUCUCGUAAGGAGAUAUUUACAUUGUCUCUAAGAAAUGGGCUCCAUGCACGUAUGUUACAAUAGCUUUAAUUUAUCGUAUUCUGGGAAUACAAUCAACAUUAAGUGAUGCGGUAAGGGGGGGGAGCUUUUUGUAAAUUUGCGACAAUAUUACCAAAGUUUGUCAAAUGAUUGGUAGUAUCACAGAUAUUUUGUCCAAGAUGGUAGAAUAACGGCUACUUGUUAUGCCGACUAACAGUCAUUCGGGCAAACCCCGAUAUGAUGCCCCUUAGUUCGAUUGGACAAACCGCCCUCGUAUAAGCGCUGCAUUUCCACACACCCUUUGCAGUCUUUAUUCCAAGCAUUUUCUGUUCAUAGUUUUCUGUUUGUAGACUUUUCUAACUAUAGUGUUACAGUGAAAAUACAAAAUGUGUCCCACUUUGGCUUCUGUAGUUUGUUAUGAUUUACUAUAAUUUGUUCUGUUUUUCUGUAGCGAUUACGGAUUUAUCGGCAAAUACUGCGAUACAAUUUAAAUUUCGUAUCUUCUAUGCAAUGAAACUAACGAAAAAUGUAUUAUUUUCCUUUGCUACAAAUUAUCAUAUUUAAAAAUAGAGAAAACUAAGAUUAAUGGCGGUAUUUGCAGCAUGAGCUCUACCUUUGAAUUUACUAUAUGAGUAAAUUGUUAAACACGUCCGAAUUUAUCAAUAUGAUAAAUUCGCGGCAACUACCCCCUAACGGUUAGGGGCGUAGGAAGCAUCAAAAAGUUGGGGGGCACCGGUUUUGAGGGGCACUUUUGGAAUGAAAAGGACACCUAAAAAAAUUUUCCCGGAAAUGUUGGCGACGGGGGAGGGAGGUAGGGAAGGAAAAAUAAAUACAAUCAUAAAUCAAAGGCCGUUGAGGCAGACUCACGGAUGAGAUCAAAUGAAACUGACAGAAAGAAUUAAAGCAGUUUGCAGUUGUUUUGCAAACGAGCACUGUGCAAAUUUUGUCGUGCUCCAGUCCGAUUUCUGGUUCUGAAGGGCCCAAUUCUCAGCCAGAGAGUGCGCGCCAAGCAGGCUGGUCAUUUCAUUGUUUAACUGCCCCACACUCAAGUAACCACAUGCAAAGACUCACAGAUAUUGCUUUGCAACAUCCGUGAGUCAAAAAUGCAAUCUGAACAACAUUUUUUACAAAAGGCAAAGGGCACUUUGCCACCGGAAAAGGGGCACUUUUUGUGUCUUCUAAAAACUUGGGGGCCUUGGCCCACUUCCCCCCCCCCGGUUCCUACGCCCCUGCGCCUAACCCUAUAGCACUAACCCCUAACCCUAUCUAACCCUAAUCUAACUUAAUUAAUCUAACCCUAACCUAAUGAAAAUCUCUGUUUGAAAAUUUGAAUUUUUUUUUUUAAAUAAAGAUUUAAACUAUGCUUCAAAUAAACCUCUAAUGUCAAAUAAAAUAUAAUUAUAUAAUUUUUCCAACAACAUAUUAAAUAUUUUUUAGGUUUUGAAUGCAAAGUGUGCUGUUCAAAAACCUGCUGUGAAAUGGUUUUCUUAAACUUUAAUUAAACUUUGUUAAUUUAAUUUAUCAUUGUAUAAUUUAAUUCGUCGUAUACGUAAGUAAACUCUAAUUUAAAAAUGUGUAGAGCACAUCAGAUAAUGAGGAUUUAGAUUGAAUUUCCAGUCCCAUCAGUUCUAUCCAUGGAGCUGUCUUCGAGAGCUUGAAAUGUCAAUUGGAGAUUCUGAAAUGACAUAUUUAAAUAUCAUGGCUAAAAUAAAGUGAAAUAGUUUUGAUCAUGCAGUCCUAAACUAGUUCGAUCACGGCAGAAUUUUCGGACAGUAUGAUCAAUGUACAUACAAAGUAAUACGGCUUGCUACUUUUCUCGCGAGUAUUUAGUAAUGUCGUAGGAAACCGUGGUGUAGAGGGGAAGGGGGAAUUCCCCAACCCCUGCACCCCCGUUGUUAAAAAACACAGCUGUACUGUUAUUUCAAAGCACCCAUGUAUUUUUCUGUUUAUUAUAUAAAGGACAGUCUUUGAAAAGCGAUAAUUUUUACAGAAAAGCGAUAAUUGAAAAGCGAUAAUUUUCACAUGUGAGAUUAUCAUCAUGAAUAAUAUCAUGAUUGCAGGCAUUCCCUUUGUUCUCGCAGGGC